rnacentral:rRNA from 1 species
AUGAACGCUGGCGGCGUGCCUAAUACAUGCAAGUCGCGCGAACGGACGAGAAGCUUGCUUCUCUGAUGUUAGCGGCGGACGGGUGAGUAACACGUGGAUAACCUACCUAUAAGACUGGGAUAACUUCGGGAAACCGUAGCUAAUACCGGAUAAUAUUUUGAACCGCAUGGUUCAAAAGUGAAAGACGGUCUUGCUGUCACUUAUAGAUGGAUCCGCGCUGCAUUAGCUAGUUGGUAAGGUAACGGCUUACCAAGGCAACGAUGCAUAGCCGACCUGAGAGGGUGAUCGGCCACACUGGAACUGAGACACGGUCCAGACUCCUACGGGAGGCAGCAGUAGGGAAUCUUCCGCAAUGGGCGAAAGCCUGACGGAGCAACGCCGCGUGAGUGAUGAAGGUCUUCGGAUCGUAAAACUCUGUUAUUAGGGAAGAACAUAUGCGUAAGUAACUGUGCACAUCUUGACGGUACCUAAUCAGAAAGCCACGGCUAACUACGUG